rnacentral:rRNA from 1 species
UACGGAGGGUGCGAGCGUUGUCCGGAAUCACUGGGCGUAAAGGGCGCGUAGGCGGCGCGGGCAGUCAACGGUGAAAGCUUGGGGCUCAACCCCGAGUCGGCCGUCGAUACUCCCGGGCUGGAGCACUGUAGAGGCAGGUGGAAUUCCGGGUGUAGCGGUGGAAUGCGUAGAGAUCCGGAGGAACACCAGUGGCGAAGGCGACACGCUGGGCCGUACCUGACGCUAAAGCGCGACAGCAUGGGGAGCAAACGGG